UACAUGGGGUGCAAACGUUGCUCGGAAUUAUUGGGCGUAAAGCGCACGUAGGCGGUUCGUUAAGUCGGAUGUGAAAGCCCUCGGCUCAACUGAGGAAGUGCACCCGAAACUGGCGAGCUUGAGUACGAAAGAGGAUCGCGGAAUUCCCGGUGUAGAGGUGAAAUUCGUAGAUAUCGGGAGGAACACCGGCGGCGAAGGCGGCGAUCUGGGUCGAUACUGACGCUGAGGUGCGAAAGCGUGGGGGAGCAAACAGGG
rnacentral:rRNA from 1 species